GUUGAUUUGGAGAGGAGUGAAGAAGUUUGGAUUGAAGUCAAUGGACCUGGAAGGUUUGUUUUGGUACCGUAAGAUGAGGUAAUGAAUUAUGAGUAUGAAAAGCUUUUGUUGACCUGACCCAAUACCCGAGUUUAGGGUGAGCAAAGCUCCCGACCUGACCCAAUACCCGAGUUAUGUAUAUUAUACUACCCGAAUGUUGACCCUUAAAACAGUUUAGUCAUUUUAAGGAUGCUUUCCAUAUUUGGAGAAAGAAGGGUUGUGAACAUAAAAAUGAGUUCAACAUUGAUGGGCAGGAAAUGAUAUUUUACACAGUGAUAUCAAUAAGCAUUUGCCUAGCCCUCAUUUUGACCCGCUGAAGAAAUAUCAAAUCAGAACUUCGAUGAAGUUGAGAAGAUUUUGAUUUGGAAGGCUUCUAAUAUGCCCAUUUACUACUGCAGGGUUACAUUGCUUGACGGGACUUUUAAGGAGGGGAGAAGUGGGAAACAACUACUUUCGAUACAGUGACAGAGUUAUCGAAGAGCUUUGCUUCAAAUGCUUUGAUUUCUCACAUGUAUGGUUUGAUGUGGGACUUUGGAGCCAUAGGUUUUUAAGUGAUUAGAUCUUAUAUUGAUGUGUGUUGCAUAUGUUGUGUUGGUGGCGUAUGCAUGAAUUCUGGAGCAUAAGUGAUGGAAAAGUCUCUUUUGCAUCAUGGGCAAAGUUCUAUUUGACAGGUGAGGUUCGUGUAUGAAUCAUUCAAGAAACUGCGUCCUGGGAUCCCUUUAAAAUGCCUGCAUGGAAUGAUGAAACAAGUGAAAGAAUGUUCAUAUUGCAACAAAGAUCAGUUCUUUUUUAUUGUAGUUUAAUUUCGGGUGAUUGUUCUCGACAAAAGAUUUCAAAUCUAUUUUUUCAUCCUUUUA